rnacentral:rRNA from 1 species
AUUACCGAGUUUACAACUCCCAAACCCCCUGUGAACAUACCUUCUUGUUGCUUCGGCGGGAUCGCCCCGGGCCCCUUCCGGCGCCCGGAGCCAGGCGCCCGCCGGAGGCCCCCAAACUCUGGUUUUCUAUGUGGAAUCUUCUGAGUCAAAACAAACAAAUCAAUCAAAACUUUCAACAACGGAUCUCUUGGUUCUGGCAUCGAUGAAGAACGCAGCGAAAUGCGAUAAGUAAUGUGAAUUGCAGAAUUCAGUGAAUCAUCGAAUCUUUGAACGCACAUUGCGCCCGUUAGUACUCUAGCGGGCAUGCCUGUUCGAGCGUCAUUUCAACCCUCAAGCCCCCCGGGCUUGGUGUUGGGGAUCGGCCGCCGCCUCACCCCGGCCGGCCGGCCCCGAAAUCCAGUGGCGGUCUCGCUGUAGCGUCCCCUGCGUAGUAGCACACCUCGCAGAUGGAUCGCGGCGCGGCCACGCCGUAAAACCCCCCAACUUCUGAAAGGUUGACCUCGAAUCAGGUAGGAAUACCCGCUGAACUUAAGCAUAUCAAUAAGCGGAGGAAAAGAAACCAACAGGGAUUGCCCCAGUAACGGCGAGUGAAGCGGCAACAGCUCAAAUUU